AUUGAACGCUGGCGGCAGGCUUAACACAUGCAAGUCGAGCGGGGACUUCGGUCCUAGCGGCGAACGGGUGAGGAAUGCUUGAGAAUCUGCCCAGUAGCGGGGGAUAACGUUUCGAAAGGAACGCUAAUACCGCAUACGCCCUACGGGGGAAAGGGGGGAUCUUCGGACCUCUCACUAUUGGAUGAGCCCAAGUCGGAUUAGCUAGUUGGUGGGGUAAAGGCCUACCAAGGCGACGAUCCGUAGCUGGUCUGAGAGGAUGAUCAGCCACACUGGAACUGAGACACGGUCCAGACUCCUACGGGAGGCAGCAGUGGGGAAUAUUGGACAAUGGGCGAAAGCCUGAUCCAGCCAUGCCGCGUGUGUGAAGAAGGCCUUCGGGUUGUAAAGCACUUUAAGCGAGGAGGAAUGGCUCUUGGUUAAUAACCUUGAGCAGUGACGUUACUCGCAGAAUAAGCACCGGCUAACUCUGUGCCAGCCGCCGCCGUAAUAC
rnacentral:rRNA from 1 species